AGGAAUAUGUCUGAUAAAAGAGUUACUUUGAUAGAGUAAAAAAUAGAGGUUCAAACCCUCUUAUUUCUA
rnacentral:tRNA from 1 species